CCAUAAUUCUGCUUGAAAAAUUUUCAACUUGCACUCUAAGGUCCCAAUACCCAAUCCAAUCAUUCUGAAACAUUCGGAACGAUUAACGGACCUCACCAUCAAGUCCAACACCACACUUCGGUCAAUUUGACUUAAGUUCAGUAUGACCUACUGAAGUUUCGGUAUAUUACAUUCUCCACCCCUUAAAAAUAGUUUUGUCCGCGAAACUCAAUUCCAUACCUUAGCUCAUCUACUCGAAUAGAUGAGGAUAGGUCUUUCGCAUUGCCUCCUCGAGUUCCCAAGUGGCUUCACGCCUCGCAUGAUUGCUCUACUGGACUUUUACAUACGAAAUUGUACGAUUCCGCAACUCUUCUCUUCUUGAGCAAGAAUGCACACCGGAUACUCC
rnacentral:lncRNA from 1 species